CAUUAAUUUGCAGGUGUUCUCCGGCUCCAUCGGUCUCUCUCUAAUACACGUCACUAACUAUUUUCAGCGAGAGGUUAAAAAUGGUAAUUAAUUGUAGUUAAAUUAAGCAAUCCAAAAUUAGAGCCGGAUUCUAUUUCUACGGAAUGUUAGAUAGAAUAGGGAAAGAAUUGCCGUGCAAACUUGAGAGUGCCAUUUAUCACCUGAGGAUUAAAGGGUUCCGCUGCAAACUAGAAACCCAGCUGAAUAUUGAAAGAUGUCCAUCAAUGCAGAUACAGAUUCACCAGAUAUAUUGAAACAUCAGACUGGCAAUUUAAACAUCAGAUGAAGGGUGCAGCUACUACAUUCCGUAAUGAACAUGAUCCAUUUGAUUUUAUGAGAUUUUUAUAUGAGGGUGCUGUAGCUGGAGCCACAGCUGGUGUUGUCGUUGAAUCUGUUCUGUACCCAAUUGACACCAUCAAAACAAGACUUCAAGCAGGCAGUUCAUGGUGGAGGAAAGAUCAUAUUAAGGG